rnacentral:rRNA from 1 species
UAUUAUUAAUAAUCUAUAGUAAGAAUUGGAAAAUACGAACAAUUGUUUAAACACCAAAGAAUUUGGCGGUGUCUUAAUUUAUUAGGGGAACCUGUCCUAUAACUCGAUAAUCCACGUAUAAAUUACCUAACUUAGAAAUUCAGUAAGUGUACUGCCGUCUCAAGUAUACCUUUAUAAGUGUAUACUAUUAAUUCUAUAUAAAUUCUACGUCAGGUCAAAGUGCUGCUUAUAGUUAGGAUGAGAUGGGUUACAACCUAUAUACAGAUUACAGAAUAAAGUAUGAAUAUAUUUUAUGAAGGUGGACUUAACAGUAAUUAUAUUAAUAAUAUAAUGAAAAAUAUAGUAAGACAAGU